GUAGGUGACGUGCCCUGCGGUCGGGGAUAGCUUAGGGAAACUUAAGGUAAUACCCGAUAAUCCCAUGAGGUUUGAAGACCAUAUGGGCAAAGGUGUGAUUCCACCACAGGAGCGGCUUGCGUGGUAUUAGCUAGUUGGUGAGGUAACGGCUCACCAAGGCUGCGAUGCCUAGGGGAUGUUAGCGCAUGAUCCCCACCACUGGGACUGAGAUACUGCCCAGACACCUACGGGUGGCUGCAGUCGAGAAUCUUCGGCAAUGGGGGCAACCCUGACCGAGCGACGCCGCGUGUGGGAUGAAGGCCCUUGGGUUGUAAACCACUGUCAGAGGGGAUGAAAUGCCAGAGAGUUAUCUCUCUGGUUUGACAUAGCCUCAGAGGAAGCACGGGCUAAGUUCGUGCCAGCAGCCGCGGUAAGACGAACUGUGCAAACGUUAUUCGGAAUCACUGGGCUUGAAGAGUGCGUAGGCGGUUUUGUAAGUAGGGUGUGAAAGCCCCCGGCUCAACCGGGGGAAUUGCGCCCUAAACUGCAAGGCUG
rnacentral:rRNA from 1 species